AGCAUAAUUUUUAUAUUUUGAUACAAUAUAAUAGGCGCUCCCUUAUGCUU
rnacentral:tRNA from 1 species